rnacentral:lncRNA from 1 species
CGAAAUCCCUCCAACGCCAGGCGAGAAAGUGCGAGAAAGAGGAGAAAGGCGAGAAACUCAAGGUCAAGAAAGCGAUCGAGAAGGGCAACAUGGACGGAGCCCGUAUCUACGCCGAGAACGCCAUCCGCAAACGCACCGAGCAGAUGAACUACCUCCGCCUCUCCUCACGCCUCGACGCCGUCGUCGCCCGCCUCGACACACAGGCCAAGAUGACCACCAUCAGCAAGUCCAUGGGCUCCAUCGUCAAGUCUCUCGAAUCUACUCUUGCCACCGGCAAUUUGCAGAAGAUGUCCGAGACGAUGGACCAGUUCGAGAAGCAAUUCGUCAACAUGGAGGUUCA